CUACGGGGGGCUGCAGUGAGGAAUUUUGCGCAAUGGGGGAAACCCUGACGCAGCAACGCCGCGUGAGUGAAGAAGGCUUUCGGGUCGUAAAGCUCUGUCAAGUGGGAAAAAAGUCCGCUGGUGAAUAGUCGGCGGGCCUGAUGGUACCACUAGAGGAAGCACCGGCUAACUCCGUGCCAGCAGCCGCGGUAAUACGGAGGGUGCUAGCGUUGGUCGGAAUUACUGGGCGUAAAGCGCGCGUAGGCGGUUUGGCAAGUCAGAUGUGAAAGCCCUGGGCUCAACCCAGGAAGCGCAUUUGAAACUGCCUUACUGGAGUAUGGGAGAGGAGAGUGGAAUUCCCAGUGUAGAGGUGAAAUUCGUAGAUAUUGGGAGGAACACCCGUGGCGAAGGCGACUCUCUGGACCAAUACUGACGCUGAGGCGCGAAAGCGUGGGGAGCAAACAGGAUUAGAUACCCGAGUAGUC
rnacentral:rRNA from 1 species